rnacentral:rRNA from 1 species
AUUGAACGCUGGCGGCAGGCCUAACACAUGCAAGUCGAACGAGUGGCGGACGGGUGAGUAAUGUCUGGGAAACUGCCCGAUGGAGGGGGAUCACUACUGGAAACGGUAGCUAAUACCGCAUACCCUCGGAUGUGCCCAGAUGGGAUUAGCUAGUAGGUGGGGUAACGGCUCACCUAGGCGACGAUCCCUAGCUGGUCUGCUAGGAUGACCAGAAACACUGGAACGGAGACACGGGCCAGACUCCGACGGGAGGCAGCAGUGGGGAAUAUGGCACAAUGGGCGAAAGCCUGAUGCAGACAUGCCGCGUGUAUGAAGAAGGCCUUCGGGUUGUAAAGUACGUUCAGCGAGGAGGCGUUACUCGCAGAAGAAGCACCGGCUAACUCCGUGCCAGCAGCCGCGGUAAUAC